rnacentral:rRNA from 1 species
UGGUUUGUCGCGUUGUUCGUGAAAUCUCACAACUCAAUUGUGAGCGUGCGGGCGAUACGGGCAGACUGGAGUACUGCAGGGGAGACUGGAAUUCCUGGUGUAGCGGUGGAAUGCGCAGAUAUCAGGAGGAACACCGGUGGCGAAGGCGGGUCUCUGGGCAGUAACUGACGCUGAGGAGCGAAAGCGUGGGGAGCGAACAGGAUUAGAUACCCUGGUAGUCCACGCCGUAAACGGUGGGUACUAGGUGUGGGUUUCCUUCCUUGGGAUCCGUGCCGUAGCUAACGCAUUAAGUACCCCGCCUGGGGAGUACGGCCGCAAGGCUAAAACUCAAAGAAAUUGACGGGGGCCCGCACAAGCGGCGGAGCAUGUGGAUUAAUUCGAUGCAACGCGAAGAACCUUACCUGGGUUUGACAUGCACAGGACGACGGCAGAGAUGUCGUUUCCCUUGUGGCCUGUGUGCAGGUGGUGCAUGGCUGUCGUCAGCUCGUGUCGUGAGAUGUUGGGUUAAGUCCCGCAACGAGCGCAACCCUUGUCUCAUGUUGCCAGCGGGUAAUGCCGGGGACUCGUGAGAGACUGCCGGGGUCGACUCGGAGGAAGGUGGGGAUGACGUCAAGUCAUCAUGCCCCUUAUGUCCAGGGCUUCACACAUGCUACAAUGGCCGGUACAAAGGGCUGCGAAGCCGCGAGGUGGAGCGAAUCCUUUAAAGCCGGUCUCAGUUCGGAUCGGGGUCUGCAGCUCGACCCCGUGAAGUUGGAGUCGCUAGUAAUCGCAG